GGACUCGGACCAGCCCCAGGUGUCAGCAGUGACCAUCAGGAGGGGCGGGCACUGCUGGGGGCUGGUUCCGGGGAGGGGUUCGCUGCUCUCUCUUUGGUUUGCAGCUGCUGGAGGAGAGGAAUUUACGGUGGGCUCCGGGGGUACCUCGUGGAACGGCGGUUCUUGUUCCAGAGGUGCUCUGACCCCAGAGCCAUACAGGGUCUGUAGCCUUGAUAAAUGGGAAUGAAAUUGGCCCAGUCUGUCAGGAAAGCAAAAACAUCCUGGGGUUUGUUUGGCCAAAGACGGACCAUGAAGAUGUCUGUACUUCCAGUGGGGGGAGAAGAACACCAACUCACAGCAAUUCAGGCCUGGCAGUCCCCUGCAGUGAGAGCUCAGCACACAUCCACAGAGGCAAGUCCAGCAUCUGAAAGAAGAAAAAUAAACAGAAGAAAAAGCAGCCGGUGAGGAAGGGAGGAGAGGCUCCGUGCGGGAUGAGGCUGGAGAGAGCGAGCAGAGGAGCGGCCUCGGGCUGGAGAGGGGCAGGAGAAAGGCAAAGGGACCUCCCUGGGGUCACCAUGGCCUGUGGGGAACAGAAUGGACACUUGGAUGACCAGUGGAGGUUCUUGUUCCAGAGGUGCUCUGACCCCAGAGCCAUACAGGGUCUGUAGCCUUGAGAAAUGGGAAUGAAAUUGGCCAAGUCUGUCAGGAAAGCAAAACAUCCUGGGGUUUGUUUGGCCAAAGACAGACCAUGAAGAUGUCUGUACUUCCAGUGCGUGGAGAAGAACACCAACUCACAGCCACUCAGGCCUGGCAGUCCUCUGCAGUGAGAGCUCAGCACACAUCGACAGAGGCAAGUCCAGCAUCUAAAAGAAGAAAAAUAAACAGCAGAAAAAGGUCUAUUUUGUGAUGAUGGCAUCAGAUGGAGUGCAGCUCAACCAUGUGUCCUGAGCCCCUGGGCAUUCCUGGGAGAUGGUGACUAAGGGACAACAGCUCAGUGAUGGCAGGAAUUUCCCCGAUGGUGAAGCUUUUUUACUGCACACCUGACAUGGAUUCUCAUACCUGGAUCUCUGACAGAUAAGUGCUGGGCUCCAACCCACAGAGGGGAUGGGAGCAGGAUGCUGGGUCCCCGAGGCAGAUUUCCAGUUCUCAGCCGCCACCUUUCAUGGAACCUAUCCCUUGAUGUCGAGGACCAGCAGCCAGAGGAUGCGGUCAAGCAUCCUAUUCAGCGUACCGUUUCAGGAAAUCGGUUCUGGGUUUUGUCGGAGUCUGCCGGGGGUUCCCAGCGCUGCCGCUCCCACUCCGGCCGCAGCGGGGGUGGGACUCCGGGCACGAUCCCUCUCCUGCCGCAGGGAGCCGGGGCUCUGCCGGUAGCUGUGCCGAGAGAGCGGCGGCGGGAUCUCCUCGUGCAGAUGCUUUAUCUCUGCUGGAACCACCCGGGACUCCGUGACCGCCGUGCCGGCCCUGGAGCCCCAAAUCCCGGCGCUCCCAUCCCGUGGUACCGCCGGCACCCCGCGGGUGGGCAGAGCCCCAGCGGGAGCAGCGCCGGGCUCCCCUUCCCCGGGCCCGUACCCCUGUGGAACGAGCGGGGCUGGAGCACGGCAGGAGCCGGGCACGGUUCCGCUCGGGCUGCUUCUCCAAUACCUGCCAGGGGAGAGGCUCUCCCUCCCUCUGCUUUGACACCUAAAAAAGCUCUGCAAUGGCAAAACCUCAUUUGUAGAAAUUGAACUGAGAAUUUUCCUCUUUACUUCCAGAUCGCAGGAUAUGCUAAAGAUACACUGGAGUGAGGGGAAUCUUAAAUCUGACUCUCAAGUCCGUAGGUUUCCUGCAGUGCUUCCUGCAUGCUGAUGAAGGCUUUGUCUGCUCCAUAACGACGUGUAAUGAAGUGCUGUCUUCUCGCUAAUGGGAGCCAUCGGAGGUGAUGGGUGCUUUGGCAGGAAGUCCCUUGACAGAACGUGAAGUAGCAGCCCCCAGUAGCUGUGUGUCAUUUGCUGGUGCAGAUGCUCCAGUAACCACUCCAGUGACAGAAAAUGCAGACUCACCAGUCUGGGACUUCAGCAGCAAGCA